rnacentral:rRNA from 1 species
GCAGUCUGCAACUCGACUGCAUGAAGCCGGAAUCGCUAGUAAUCGCGGAUCAGGAUGCCGCGGUGAAUACGUUCCCGGGUCUUGUACACACCGCCCGUCACACCAUGGGAGUCGGAAAUGCCCGAAGCCGGUGGCCUAACCGAUAAGGGAGGAGCCGUCGAAGGCAGGUCUGAUGACUGGGGUGAAGUCGUAACAAGGUAAC